GACGAACGCUGGCGGCGUGCUUAACACAUGCAAGUCGAACGGAAAGGCCUCUUUCGGGGGGUACUCGAGUGGCGAACGGGUGAGUAACACGUGAGUAACCUGCCCUUGACUUUGGGAUAACUUCAGGAAACUGGGGCUAAUACCGGAUAGGAGCUCCUGCUGCAUGGUGGGGGUUGGAAAGUUUCGGCGGUUGGGGAUGGACUCGCGGCUUAUCAGCUUGUUGGUGGGGUAGUGGCUUACCAAGGCUUUGACGGGUAGCCGGCCUGAGAGGGUGACCGGCCACAUUGGGACUGAGAUACGGCCCAGACUCCUACGGGAGGCCGCAGUGGGGAAUAUUGCACCAUGGGUGGAAGCCUGAUGCAGCAACGCCGUGUGCGGGAUGACGGCCUUCGGGUUGUAAACCGCUUUCGCUCAUGACGAAGCUUUGUGUGACGGUAGUGGGUAAAGAAGCACCGGCUAACUACGUG
rnacentral:rRNA from 1 species